UCAGCCUUGAAUUAAAUCACUCUCCGCUAAAUGGAUCUUUGAGACUCACCCUUGGCGCAGGCAGCUGCUGCUUUGCGCGUCUUCAAACCGAAACAGAAAUCUGGAUUUUUCUUUUUUAUUAUUUUCAUUUUUGUACUAUCUGCCAGAAACAUCUCCCCUGUCUUUGAAUAUGUCUUGUGUUCGCGGUGAGAUACAGUAAGCAGACAGCUUUGUAUCGGGAAGAGGCUCUUGCUCUGCGAUCGCUAAGCAGUGGACAUCUGCGGACAUCUGUAUUGCUGGAGGACACCAGGGAUGCUUUCCCUCGCUGAGGAUUUCAACCUAGAUUACAGUGGUUAUUCAUCCAUGCACACCAGAGAGGCACAGGAUGCAGGAAACCGGCAGAAA
rnacentral:lncRNA from 1 species